rnacentral:rRNA from 1 species
GACGAACGCUGGCGGCGUGCUUAACACAUGCAAGUCGAACGGAAAGGCCCUGCUUUUGUGGGGUGCUCGAGUGGCGAACGGGUGAGUAACACGUGAGUAACCUGCCCUUGACUUUGGGAUAACUUCAGGAAACUGGGGCUAAUACCGGAUAGGAGCUCCUGCUGCAUGGUGGGGGUUGGAAAGUUUCGGCGGUUGGGGAUGGACUCGCGGCUUAUCAGCUUGUUGGUGGGGUAGUGGCUUACCAAGGCUUUGACGGGUAGCCGGCCUGAGAGGGUGACCGGCGACAUUGGGACUGAGAUACGGCCCAGACUGCUACGGGAGGCAGCAGUGGGGAAUAUUGCACAAUGGGCGGAAGCCUGAUGCAGCAACGCCGCGUGCGGGAUGACGGCCUUCGGGUUGUGAACCGCUUUCGCCUGUGACGAAGCGUGAGUGACGGUAAUGGGUAAAGAAGCACCGGCUAACUACGUG